GGCGGUGUAGCUCAGGUGGUCAGAGCAGGCGGCUCAUAUCCGCCAUGUCGGGGGUUCGAGUCCCUCCACCGCCA
rnacentral:tRNA from 1 species